rnacentral:rRNA from 1 species
GACGAACGCUGGCGGCGUGCUUAACACAUGCAAGUCGAACGGAAAGGCCCUGCUUUUGUGGGGUGCUCGAGUGGCGAACGGGUGAGUAACACGUGAGUAACCUGCCCUUGACUUUGGGAUAACUUCAGGAAACUGGGGCUAAUACCGGAUAGGAGCUCCUGCUGCAUGGUGGGGGUUGGAGAGUUUCGGCGGUUGGGGAUGGACUCGCGGCUUAUCAGCUUGUUGGUGGGGUAGUGGCUUACCAAGGCUUUGACGGGUAGCCGGCCUGAGAGGGUGACCGGCGACAUUGCGACUGAGGUACGGCCCAGACUCCUACGGGAGGCAGCAGUGGGGAAUAUUGCACAAUGGGCGGAAGCCUGAUGCAGCAACGCCGCGUGCGGGAUGACGGCCUUCGGGUUGUAAACCGCUUUCGCAUGUGACGAAGAGUGAGUGACGGUAAUGGGUAAAGAAGCACCGGCUAACUACGUG